AUGAGUUUACAUAAGGAAAUUUCGAGUUUCUAUCUUGAAAAUCAUUCAAAGUUGUUACAUUACUACAAGAGAUUUACAAACUUCAAGUUCCAUCAAUUUAUGUUACAAAGGAAUAAUUUCAAGAUACAUUUCAAAGUGGGUUACAAUUUAAGAUACAAACUACAAGUGUUUUGUUUACAAAAAAAAAAGAAAUAUUGCUUCUUCAAUUUUCUCUUGCUUCAUCUUCAAGAAAAUCAUCCAUUCCUCGCCAUGGCUUCUUCGCAUUUCAACCUCGCUUGA